CACGUAGGGCGCAAGCGUUGUCCGGAAUUAUUGGGCGUAAAGAGCUCGUAGGCGGUCUGUUGCGUCCGCUGGGAAAACUCGGGGCUUAACCCCGAGCCUGCAGUGGAUACGGGCAGACUAGAGGUAGGUAGGGGAGAAUGGAAUUCCCGGUGUAGCGGUGAAAUGCGCAGAUAUCGGGAGGAACACCGGUCGCGAAGGCGGUUCUCUGGGCCUUACCUGACGCUGAGGAGCGAAAGCGUGGGGAGCGAACAGG
rnacentral:rRNA from 1 species